GUCAGCAAUGGCAGCGCCCAUCAGCCACGUGCACUUGUGAAGAAUUGCAGUUCAUUUAACUUUUUUACCCGAUAUCGCCAAAGAAAGCAGGGACGGGUCUACAAGUCGCAACAACAAUACGGGCAUCGAAAGGAGUUCAAAGCAAAACAAAAGGAGAUCAUGGAUCCUCUGCCACAUUACUGUUACACCUACAACUUGAGGAAUUUGAUGUGCUCUCCUCUCCACGAGGCGCCGCAGGAAAGAAGCUCGAACCACGAUCACGUCACAAGUUGCUUGAAACGUUCGCUCCAUUACCCAUCGGCUUCGACUAAGUACUCCCAUCGACACUUGCCGCAUAGGCCGCAGAGCGUUCGGGCCCUGUCAACGGAACCUGCGACGGCUGCGAGUUCAGCGGCCCCGGGCAGCGCAUCGCAACCUGACAAAAUGGUAGCCAUGAACACGAGUACGUUAACUGAUCUCAUGAAAUCGGUUAUUAACAAGACGUUUGAGCUGAGCUGCUUGGCGGCGGAGGAGGGUAAACGGCCCGGAUAUGGUGUCUUUCAGGGGGUUCCAAUGAACCCGCUAGCUUUGCAGACACACCCUUAUCCACACCAGCAUCCAAUGGCUGGCUUUGUUGGGCAAAUUCCUCCGCAGAUGCAAAGCAACACUCCAACCCUAUGGCAGCAGCCCCCGAUGUAUUACCCAUGGCAGGGUUUGCCUCCCUGCGUUCCUGCGCAGAGCAGUACUUGGAUGGCACCGGGUAACAGAUUUCCACCGGGUUACUCCUCUUCAACAUCCGCCUUCUCGCCCAUAUCGACAUCAUCACCGCACCUUCAAGAUCAUAGUGCUCAGCACCAACACCCACCUGGUGUUUUUCCUUUUGGGC